rnacentral:tRNA from 1 species
GGCGUGGUGGCUGAGUGGUAAAGCACUGGGCUUCUAAAACCAGGGUCCCAGGUUCAAAUCCUGUUGAAGACU